rnacentral:rRNA from 1 species
CAGCCGCCGCGGUAAUACGAAGGGGGCUAGCGUUGUUCGGAUUUACUGGGCGUAAAGGGUGCGUAGGCGGAUUGUUAAGUCAGGGGUGAAAUCCCGAGGCUCAACCUCGGAACUGCCUUUGAUACUGGCGAUCUUGAGUCCGGGAGAGGUGAGUGGAACUGCGAGUGUAGAGGUGAAAUUCGUAGAUAUUCGCAAGAACACCGGUGGCGAAGGCGGCUCACUGGCCCGGAACUGACGCUGAGGCACGAAAGCGUGGGGAGCAAACAGGAUUAGAUACCCCGGUAGUCCCUGUCUCUUAUAC